rnacentral:misc_RNA from 1 species
GAUGAAGAACGCAGCGAAAUGCGAUAAGUAAUGUGAAUUGCAGAAUUCAGUGAAUCAUCGAAUCUUUGAACGCACAUUGCGCCCGCUAGUAUUCUGGCGGGCAUGCCUGUCCGAGCGUCAUUUCAACCCUCAAGCCCCCGGGCUUGGUGUUGGGGAUCGGCGAGCCUCCGCGCCCGCCGUCCCCUAAAUCUAGUGGCGGUCUCGCUGUAGCUUCCUCUGCGUAGUAGCACACCUCGCACUGGGAAACAGCGCGGCCACGCCGUUAAACCCCCAACUUCUGAACGUCUGACCUCGGAUCAGGUAGGAAUACCCGCUGAACUUAAGCAUAUCAAUAAGCGGAGGA